rnacentral:lncRNA from 1 species
AGCUCCUCAGAACAGGCUGACAACUGGGGGUGGGUGGAGGCAGGGAAAGGUCGAGGCUGGGGCAGGAGGUCAAGGCCUCUUCCACCCACCCCUCUCCACCUUUCUGGCCACAACCCAGACCUUCACGCUCCCGAAGGGACCGACGGACAGAGCGACAGCGCUUGCCAGCUCCCUGGGAGUCACUGGACCGCGCUGAACGCGGGCCCCGCAGCCGAGACCCGCAGGGAUAAGGUGCUGGGCGGGCGGGGCCCACGGCCCCCCCCACCCGGGACGGGACAGACAGACACGCACGCGGCUGGACAGACAGACGGACAGCGCCGGCGGUGGGCGUGCGCCCGGCUUACCGCGGGGCGGAGGGUCCGACGAAGGUCCAGAAGGCGGCGAGCGGGCUCUACAUCCCACGGCGCGGGCGGGCGGGCGGCGUCCCGGGCGGGGAGAGGGGAGUCCCGGCGCCCCCUCCCCGCGCACUCGGCCGGCCGGCCCCGCCCCCCUCCCCGGCUGCCGGUGGGUCUGUCCGUCGGUGUCCGGGUCUCCGCGCCUCGGGGCCGUCCCGCGCCGCUCCCCGCGGGCCGCUCAACUUUCAGCGCUGCCCCGCGCCGCGCCCCCGGCGCCGCCUGGGCGUCAGCAUCGUCGGGCCGGGCCCGGCUCAGGGCGCGGGGAUCCGGGGGCCCAUGGCCUCGGCCGCCCGCGCUCGCGCCCCCCGCCCCCGCCGCAGCCGCCGGCCCUCCGCCGCCCCCCCGCUGCCGUCGCGCUGUCUCUCCGCGCCGCUCCCCGCCCCGCGCUCCGCUCCCCGCCCCGCGCUCCGCUCCCCGCUCCCCGCUCCCCGCUCCCCGCCCCGGCCCCGGGAAGCCCUCGGCCGGCCGGCCGGCCCGGGACCCGCCGCCGCCCGCCGGGCUGCCCCCGGGGUCUCCGUGCGUCUGUCCGUCCGCCCCUCGGUCCCCGAGCCCGCCUCCCGUGUCUCCCGGCGGGGGCUCGGUCUGCUGCCCGCCGCCCUCCCAGAGCCUCCCCUGCCUCCCUCCGCCUCUGCCCUGUCUCGGUCUCCCCUGCGCGUCUCUCUCUGUCCUCCUCCCGGGCGCCGUCUGUCCUUCUGCGUGUCUCUCCCUCCCUCCCACUCUCGGUGCGGCCCCCGCUGUCUCGGACCCAGGCCCGCGCCUCCGCCGCGUCCCCGGCUCGCCCGGGAGCCCGAGCUCCCGCCGCCCGCGGCGCGCCGAGAACUCCCAACUCGCGGCACGCCGCCCCGCUUUGCGAGACUUUCGCCCCUCCUCACACGUGACCCGCGCCCCAGUGCGGAGGCCGCGCCCCCCCCCCCCGGCCCCCGAGCCCCGGGCCCCGGGCGGCCCGCGGGGCCCGGCCCGGCUCCUUCCCCGCGGCGCAGCGGGGCUUCAAACCCCCUGGGCCCGCCGGGCGCGCGGGGCAGGGCUGGGGGCCGAGGGGCCGUGGGGCCCCGCUCCUGCCGCGGAUCCUGCCCGGGUUUUCCUCCUCCCUCCGGGAGCGCUCCUCCCAGAACCCAUUCCGAGAAUCCGCUCCGGGUUUUGCAACCCCCGGGGGCAGGCAGGCAGCCAGGACUGUGUUCCUUCACAUGAAUCUUUGAUGCGCAUGAACUUAGGCAAUCUGAAUCCUCGGUCAGUGGCAGGUAAGUGCCUGGUCACUGUCACAACUUUCCGUGGAAAUUGGGAGGGUGCAGGAGAAGCAAAUGACCCGUGGUCUCUUCACCUAGCCAGAGGUCUGCCUGCUGGCUGCCCUGGAAAUGUGGGGUGCAGGGCAAGGAGGGAGGGGCAAAGGGGGCGGGGAAUGGAGACUGAGGGGUCUGUAGACCUAGAGCCUCUGCUCCUGUGGGGUCAGUCCUGAUGCUGGGUCACUGGGCACAAGUUCAAGGGAAAGGUAGGAGCUCAGGGACAGAGACUUCUGGAAGAUGGAAGGGGGAAGCCUGGUGGCUGUGACAUCAUAAGCCUGAGAGGAAACAUUUGGUAAUGGUCCCCUCCUCCUGGGGCUGUAGCCUGGGAUCCUCCUGCAAGGAGGGUCUGGUGGAGGCUGGGAGUGACUGGGAGGAGGUGGGAAGAGGCAGAAAAGGCAGCUCCAGCCAGAGAGAGGUUCAGGGACCCCAGGAAAAAGAGUCCCUUCACCUCCCCCCCCACCCCGCUCUGCCCCAAGCCUGAUGUGACUCUGGACAGCUCAC